rnacentral:rRNA from 1 species
CCUACGGGAGGCAGCAGUGGGGAAUUUUGGGCAAUGGGCGCAAGCCUGACCCAGCAACGCCGCGUGAGGGAGGAAAUCCUUCGGGAUGUAAACCUCGCAAGUCCGGGAAGAGCGCGCGGGCGCCAACACCGCCCGCGCCCGACGGUACCGGGCGUAAGCCACGGCUAACUACGUGCCAGCAGCCGCGGUAAUACGUAGGUGGCAAGCGUUGUUCGGAAUUACUGGGCGUAAAGGGCGCGUAGGCGGCGUGCCGCGUCGGCCGUGAAAGCCCGGGGCUCAACCCCGGAGGGUCGGCCGAGACGGGCAGGCUAGAGUGCGGAAGAGGUGGCCGGAAUUCCCGGUGUAGCGGUGAAAUGCGUAGAUAUCGGGAGGAAUACCGGAGGCGAAGGCGGGCCACUGGGCCGCCACUGACGCUGAGGCGCGAAAGCCAGGGGAGCGAA